rnacentral:lncRNA from 9 species
AUGGCGUUUCAAUGGGCCCCAGCAGAGAUCAGAAAAGCCACCUCUCCAAGGCAGAAGGAGAACCACGUCAAAGGACUAACCCAUCAAAGAAAGGAUGUGUUGGUUAGAACCCACCCUGCACAGGAGGCAGAGAGGAUAGUCAAGAAAAGGAAGCAUCUCAUACUGAGUGAAAUGAGCCAGAGACAAAUACCAUAUGAUAUCACUUAUAACUGGAAUCUAAUAUCCAGCACAAAUGAACAUCUCCUCAGAAAAGAAAAUCAUGGACUUGGAGAAGAGACUUGUGGCUGCCUGAUGGGAGGGGGAGGGAGUGGGAGGGAUCGGGAGCUUGGGCUCAUCAGACACAACUUAGAAUAGAUUUACAAGGAGAUCCUGCUGAAUAGCAUUGAGAACUUUGUCUAGAUACUCAUGUUGCAACAGAAGAAAGGCUGGGGGAAAAAUGUAAUUGUAAUGUAUACAUGUAAGGAUAACCUGACCCCCUUGCUGUACAGUAGGAAAAUAAAUAAAUAAAUAAAUAAAUAAAAUCUAAGUGACAAAAAAAAAAAGACAAGGAAGCAACCUAAAUACCAUCAACUGAUGAGUGGAUAAGGGAGAUGUGGCACAUAUAUACAAUGGAAUAUUACUCAGCCAUAAAAAGAAAGAAAUAAUGCCAUUUGCAGCACAUAGAUGGACCUAGAGAUGAUCAAACUAAAUAAAGUUAGUAAG